rnacentral:rRNA from 1 species
UACGAAGGGGGCGAGCGUUGUUCGGAAUUACUGGGCGUAAAGCGUGCGCAGGCGGUUUUGUAAGCCAGAUGUGAAAUCCCCGGGCUUAACCUGGGAAUGGCAUUUGGGACUGCAAGGCUGGAGUGCGGCAGAGGAGACUGGAAUUCCUGGUGUAGCAGUGAAAUGCGUAGAUAUCAGGAGGAACACCGAUGGCGAAGGCAGGUCUCUGGGCUGACACUGACGCUCAUGCACGAAAGCGUGGGGAGCAAACAGG